GAGUUUGAUCUUGGCUCAGGAUGAACGCUGGCGGCGUGCCUAACACAUGCAAGUCGAGCGAUGAAAUUGGUGCUUGCACUAAUGGAAUAGCGGCGGACGGGUGAGUAACGCGUGGGUAACCUGGCCUAUACAGGGGGCUAGCAACGGGAAACUGUUGGUAAUACCGCGUAAGCUUAAUGUGUCGCAUGACACAAUAAGGAAAGAUUUAUCGGUAUAGGAUGGGCACGCGACUGAUUAGCUAGUUGGUAGGGUAAAGGCCUACCAAGGCAACGAUCAGUAGCCGAUCUGAGAGGAUGACCGGCCACAUUGGGACUGAGACACGGCCCAAACUCCUACGGGAGGCAGCAGUGGGGAAUAUUGCACAAUGGAGGGAACUCUGAUGCAGCAACGCCGCGUGAAGGAAGAAGGUUUUCGGAUCGUAAACUUCUAUCGACAGGGAAGAAAAGAAUGACGGUACCUGAAUAAGAAGCCCCGGCUAACUACGUGCCAGCAGCCGCGGUAAAAC
rnacentral:rRNA from 1 species